GACGAACCGUGCGAACGUUAUUCGGAAUCACUGGGCUUAAAGGGCGCGUAGGCGGGCCGCCAGGUCCGGGGUGAAAGCCUCCAGCUCAACUGGAGAAGUGCCUUGGAUACCGGCGGCCUCGAGGGAGGCAGGGGCGUGCGGAACUUCGGGUGGAGCGGUGAAAUGCGUAGAUAUCCGAAGGAACACCGGUGGCGAAAGCGGCGCGCUGGACCUCUUCUGACGCUGAGGCGCGAAAGCCAGGGGAGCAAACGGG
rnacentral:rRNA from 1 species